AUGAAACAACCUCCUAGGUUUGAGAGUAAGAAUGCUCCUUCUUAUGUGUGCAAGCUUGAUAAAGCACUAUAUGGGUUAAAGCAGGCUCCUAGGGCAUGGUAUGCUCGCCUUUGUCACAAAAUGCAAGCACUUGGUUUCGUUCCUUCUAAGUCUGACACAUCUUUGUUCAUCUACAACAAGUCCAACACAUGCAUAUUUGUUCUCAUAUAUGUUGAUGAUAUUAUUGUAACCAGCUCAUCUGAUGAAGCAAUCAGAGGACUUCUUAACGAUUUAAGUGCAGACUUUCCUCUAAAGGAUCUUGGUGACUUGCAUUACUUUCUUGGGAUUGAGGUGAAGAAGCACAAAGAUGGACUUCUCCUCUCUCAAGAAAAGUAUGCAACUGAUUUGGUUAUGAAGGCUGGGUUACAAGGAUGUAAACCCUCAUCUACUCCGUUAUCCAGCUCCCAAAAAUUAUCUCUUGCAGAAGGCGAGCUCUUGAAUCAAGAGGACAUCACCAAAUACAGAAGUCUGGCCACUGUAUCCAGGUCCAGCACAGAGGCAGAAUACAAGGCAUUGGCAAAUGCCACAGCUGAGAUAAUAUGGGUUCAGUCCAUGCUGAAGGAACUUGUUGUACAAAGUAAACAAGCUCCCUGCUUAUGGUGUGACAACCUUGGUGCUACGUAUCUCUCUGCAAAUCCGGUGUUCCAUGCCAGGACAAAGCAUAUAGAGAUAGACUUUCAUUUUGUCAGAGAAAGAGUUGCUCAGAAACAACUUGACAUUCGCUUUGUGCAUUCUAAAGACCAACUUGCAGAUGGAUUCACAAAGCCUUUGCCUAUAAGAAGUUUUGAAGACUUCAAGCAUAAUCUCAACUUGAUGAAGUUGUGA
rnacentral:rRNA from 1 species